rnacentral:rRNA from 1 species
AAGGCUCGUCCGCUCUGGGUUAGUCGGGUCCUAAGCUGAGGCCGACAGGCGUAGGCGAUGGAUAACAGGUUGAUAUUCCUGUACCACCAUUAUUCGUUUUAAGCGAUGGGGGGACGCAGUAGGAUAGGCGAAGCGUGCUGUUGGAGUGCACGUCCAAGCAGUGAGAUUGAGUGUUAGGCAAAUCCGGCACUCUUAAGAUUGAGCUGUGAUGGGGAGAGGAACUUGUUCCUCGAGUCGUUGAUUUCACACUGCCGAGAAAAGCCUCUAGCUAGAAUAACGGUGCCCGUACCGCAAACCGACACAGGUAGUCAAGAUGAGAAUUCUAAGGUGAGCGAGCGAACUCUCGUUAAGGAACUCGGCAAAAUGACCCCGUAACUUCGGGAGAAGGGGUGCUCUUUGAGGUUCACGCUUCGAAGAGCCGCAGUGAAUAGGCCCAAGCGACUGUUUAUCAAAAACACAGGUCUCUGCUAAACCGUAAGGUGACGUAUAGGGGCUGACGCCUGCCCGGUGCUGGAAGGUUAAGAGGAGUGGUUAGCGCAAGCGAAGCUACGAAUCGAAGCCCCAGUAAACGGCGGCCGUAACUAUAACGGUCCUAAGGUAGCGAAAUUCCUUGUCGGGUAAGUUCCGACCCGCACGAAAGGCGUAACGAUUUGGGCACUGUCUCAACGAGAGACUCGGUGAAAUCAUAGUACCGGUGAAGAUGCCGGUUACCCGCGACAGGACGGAAAGACCCCGUGGAGCUUUACUGUAGCCUGAUAUUGAAAUUCGGUACAGUUUGUACAGGAUAGGUAGGAGCCUUAGAAGCGUGAGCGCUAGCUUACGUGGAGGCAUUGGUGGGAUACUACCCUAAUUGUAUUGGAUUUCUAACCCGCAGCACUUAUCGUGCUGGGAGACAGUGUCAGGCGGGCAGUUUGACUGGGGCGGUCGCCUCCUAAAGAGUAACGGAGGCGCUCAAAGGUUCCCUCAGAAUGGUUGGAAAUCAUUCAUAGAGUGUAAAGGCAUAAGGGAGCUUGACUGCGAGACCUACAAGUCGAGCAGGGUCGAAAGACGGACUUAGUGAUCCGGUGGUUCCGCAUGGAAGGGCCAUCGCUCAACGGAUAAAAGCUACCCCGGGGAUAACAGGCUUAUCUCCCCCAAGAGUUCACAUCGACGGGGAGGUUUGGCACCUCGAUGUCGGCUCAUCGCAUCCUGGGGCUGUAGUCGGUCCCAAGGGUUGGGCUGUUCGCCCAUUAAAGCGGUACGCGAGCUGGGUUCAGAACGUCGUGAGACAGUUCGGUCCCUAUCCGUCGUGGGCGUAGGAAAUUUGAGAGGAGCUGUCCUUAGUACGAGAGGACCGGGAUGGACAUACCUCUGGUGUACCAGUUGUCGUGCCAACGGCAUAGCUGGGUAGCUAUGUAUGGACGGGAUAAGUGCUGAAAGCAUCUAAGCAUGAAGCCCCCCUCGAGAUGAGAUUUCCCAACUUCGGUUAUAAGAUCCCUCAAAGAUGAUGAGGUGAAUAGGUUCGAGGUGGAAGCGUAGCGAUACGUGGAGCUGACGAAUACUA